rnacentral:lncRNA from 1 species
UGGUGGAUCAGCUGUAAGACAGCAGUGUGUUUAAAGAGUCAGGUAAGUUAGGGGGGCAGAUAUGGGGCAGACAUCUCUGUUUUGCUCCUGUCCAUUUCCCAUAGAUGGGUAGUCCUGAUGUUUCUCCAGAAAUGCCUGUGGCACCUUACCACAUUGUGUUCCAGGGCAGUCUGGUGUUCUCUCCAGUCCCACCACUUAACCCCACCUCUCCAGGUCUCUCAGGAAAAGCAGUGGCAGGAGUGGUCACUUACUUUAUGUCACCAGGGCGUACAGGGCAACAGCUGCAUGCUCUUUUCUCCAAUGGAGUGGGGAGAAUUGUUGUCUUAGUUCCUUUGGGCUGCUAUAACAAAAUGCCAUAGAUUGGGUGUCUUAUAAACAACAGAAGUUUAUUUCUCACAGUAUUGGAUGCUGGGAAGUCCAAGAUCAAAGUGCUGGCAGAUUUGGUGUCUGGUGAGGGCUGUUUUUUGGUUCACAGAUGACUGUCGUUUCACUGUAACAUCACAUGGUGGAAGAGAGAGGAAAUCUCUUUGGGGCCUCCUUUAAAAGGGCACUAAUCUCAUUCAUGAGGGCUCUUCCCUCAUCAUCUAAUUGCCUCCCAAAGAUCGCACCCCCAGAUACCCUUACAUUUGGAAUUGGGAUUUCAACAUGUGACUUUGGGGACGAUACAGUCUAUAGUAGUUGUCAUAGAGCCCCAUGGUUUGCACCAGUGCUCUGCAAUCUCCAGUGGCAGGGGUAGGAGAGCUUCCCCCAUCACAUUCUGCCCAGGGUGGCAGGAG